rnacentral:rRNA from 1 species
GAGUUUGAUCCUGGCUCAGGAUGAACGCUGGCGGCGUGCUUAACACAUGCAAGUCGAACGGGCUCAUAUUGAAACCUAGUGAUUUAUGAGUUAGUGACGGACGGGUGAGUAACGCGUGGGAAAACCUGCCGUAUACUGGGGGGAUAACACUUAGAAAUAGGUGCUAAUACCGCAUAAGCGCACAGCUUCGCAUGAAGUGGUGUGAAAAACUCUGGUGGUAUACGAUGGUUCCGCGUCUGAUUAGCUUGUUGGCGGGGGUAAUGGCUCACCAAGGCAACGAUCAGUAGCCGGCCUGAGAGGGUGAACGGCCACAUUGGGGACUGAGACAC